rnacentral:tRNA from 1 species
CGGGACGUAGCGCAGCCUGGUUAGCGCGCCUGCCUUGGGAGCAGGAGGCCGGCGGUUCAAAUCCGCCCGUCCCGA